CCUACGGGUGGCUGCAGUGGGGAAUAUUGCACAAUGGGGGAAACCCUGAUGCAGCGACGCCGCGUGAGUGAAGAAGUAAGUCGUUACGUAAAGCUCUAUCAGCAGGGAAGAAACACUGACCUUACGGUCAGCAGACGGUACCUGAGUAAGAAGCGCCGGAUAACUACGUGCAAGCAGCCGCGGGAAUACGUAGGGGGCAAGCGAUAUCCGGAUGUACUGGGUGUAAAGGGAGCGUAGACGGUGCGCCAAGUCUGGAGUGAAAUGCCGAAGCUUAACUGCGGAACUGCUUUGGAAACUGGCGAACUAGAGUGCGGGAGGGGUAAGCGGAAUUCCUAGUGUAGCGGUGAAAUGCGUAGAUAUUAGGAGGAACACCGGUGGCGAAGGCGGCUUACUGGACCGUAACUGACGUUGAGGCUCGAAAGCGUGGGGAGCAAACAGGAUUAGAUACCCUUGUAGUC
rnacentral:rRNA from 1 species